CCAAUAAAUAACAGGAACUAAAACUACAAAAAAACUAUAAAACGAAACAAAAAAAAAAAUAAAAAAUAUUCUCCAAUUUGAUUUGGAGAUACUGUUGAUAUUGAUAUCGGCAUGGAUAUACCUGGCUUUACCUAAACAUAACUGGAUAUAACUCGGACUUGACAAAGAGAUGUAUAUAUAUAUAUAUAACGAAAUAUAUAUAAUCAAUUAUAGACCUGGAUUCUAAUUAGGAUGACUGCGAGUUGGUUGCUUAUCUUCAGUGAUCCAUGAUCCAUGAUCUUAUUUAUACAGUGAUCCAUGCGAGCUUGUUCUUGCCUACGAACGCCUGGGGGGUCUUCUCUCAUAUCUUAAAUCCUGGGCUUCACGAUAUGGUACACUGUCAUCUGAUUCACUUGUUCACGCUCAGUGGCUUCUUUCGAAAAUUGCACUGGAAUAGUUUCGUACGACUAUCUGGGAGAAAUUUGUUGUUUAUCUGUUCGGAUGGUGGAGUUGUUGUAAAUUCUGGUUUAUCAAUACAGUAAUUCUCUUUGGCAAUAAAUAUACAAAACAAA
rnacentral:sRNA from 1 species